rnacentral:ncRNA from 1 species
UAAAUAAUUGAACUGCCCUCGUAUAUGUUCGAAAAUAUGGUUCGAAUGUUUCUACCAAGCUACCGUAAAUGGUUUGACUAUGAAGGUGAAUAU